rnacentral:rRNA from 1 species
AACGAACGCUGGCGGCAUGCCUAACACAUGCAAGUCGAACGAGACCUUCGGGUCUAGUGGCGCACGGGUGCGUAACGCGUGGGAACCUGCCCUUAGGUUCGGAAUAACUCCCCGAAAGGGGUGCUAAUACCGGAUAAUGUCUUCGGACCAAAGAUUUAUCGCCUUUGGAUGGGCCCGCGUUGGAUUAGCUAGUUGGUAGGGUAAAAGCCUACCAAGGCGACGAUCCAUAGCUGGUCUGAGAGGAUGAUCAGCCACACUGGGACUGAGACACGGCCCAGACGGGUAGGGGAGGGAGCAGGGAGGGAUGGGGAAAAAUGGGAGGAAGCAGGAUGCAGAAGCGCCGGGGGGGGGAUGCCGGCCUUCGGGUUGUAAACCGCUUUCGCCGGUGAAGACGCGUGAGGGACGGGAGUGGGUAAAGAAGCACGGGCUAACUACGUG